GACAUGCUCAACACAACAAGAACCUACACGACGUGAUAUUAUUGAAGUUAAAAGAGCCACAAAAGAAAGGGGUUAAUAAAACUUUGCAUCCACAUCUAUCUGAAGUUUUGACUACACCUGGGGCUCCUGAACUGAUAGAGAAAUUUAAGGAUGUCGUCUAUUAAUCCCACCCAAGUCAUUGCUGCUACUAGAGGAAUAGUGCGCACUGGAGGGGGAAUUCAGGUCCAGGCAUUUGCUAUACCCAAUCACCUGUGCCCAACGGGACAACACCUAUACCCAAGGCAUUGCUUAAAACCCUAUGAUCCUGUAUUUCAUGAUACAGAGAGUUACGAUAAUAAGACCUAUAUUACCCAGGAGUCUCUGCAUACAGAAGAAAAAUUAAGAGCUGUUUACUUCGUUGAUACACCAGAUGAUGGAAGUCAGUUCUGCUUUGACAAUCCAGCCCAUCAAGAUGAAUAUAUUAGACUUAAACGCACAUUGAAUUUAUAUAACAAUGAGAGAUCUUCAGAGAGCCUGAGUGGUCAAACCAAAUAUGCUGAGCGAGUUGUUACAUUAUUGGAGGUUAAAGCACCUGAGGAUGACACAUAUAAGUAUAUUGUAAUUGUUGUUGGUGGUCAAAUUGAAUACCAAAACUUCAUUGAAGCUGGAUUUGAGUUUCUUGAUAAAUUCCAGUCAGUGGAAGUAGCUUUAAGUGCAUUUCCUGAUUAUAACAUUCUUGGAAUGCAAGUCAUAUAAUCAAUGCAUGUAUAUUAUGAGAGUUAUACAGAAAAGGACAUUUAUCAGAAGACAUUAUUUGAUAAAUUGUAUUACAAAUACACUUUUUAUCCAAGUGCCAUACAAAUCCUUAGAUAGUUGUUGCAAUUUCGUCAUUGCUUUGUUUGCUUAAACAGUGUGUCCUAUCUGAGUAUUAAGACCUCAAAUGCACAGUAUAGAUUUCACAUAUUAUAUAGAAAUAUACUAUCAUUACUGUA
rnacentral:misc_RNA from 1 species